rnacentral:rRNA from 1 species
UACGUAGGCAGCGAGCGUUGUUCGGAGUUACUGGGCGUAAAGAGUGCGUAGGCGGUGCUCUAAGUUUGGUGUGAAAUCUCCCGGCUCAACUGGGAGGUGCGCCGAAAACUGGAGUGCUCGAGUAUGGGAGAGGUAAGGCGGAAUUCCUGGUGUAGCGGUGAAAUGCGUAGAUAUCAGGAGGAACUCCUGCGGUGUAGACGGCUUACUGGACCAUGACUGACGCUGAGGCACGAAAGCGUGGGGAGCAAACAGG